rnacentral:pre_miRNA from 9 species
UGUCGCUAGCGUAAAAGUUAACUAAAAUUUGUAUUGAGUUGAUCGUUUGCCUACGUUUGCCGCUAGAGGCGCUGUUCUAACUGCAUACAAAUUUCAGUUAUCUUUUACGCUAUCGA